GUACGAGAGGACCGGAGUGGACGCAUCACUGGUGUUCGGGUUGUCAUGCCAAUGGCACUGCCCGGUAGCUAAAUGCGGAAGAGAUAAGUGCUGAAAGCAUCUAAGCACGAAACUUGCCCCGAGAUGAGUUCUCCCUGACUCCUUGAGAGUCCUGAAGGAACGUUGAAGACGACGACGUUGAUAGGCCGGGUGUGUAAGCGCAGCGAUGCGUUGAGCUAACCGGUACUAAUGAACCGUGAGGCUUAACCUUACAACGCCGAAG
rnacentral:rRNA from 1 species